GGAAAUACUCAAAGCAGAGAAAUUGUGCUGGUCAUUUAUUAUUGUUUUAGGAACUGGGAGGGAACUGAAGCAGCAGCACCUUGCUUUCUGACCAUUUAGAGAUGCUCAGGAAACAGUCAUGCAGACAGGAUUUGCUAAACAGACAAAGGGAUUACUACAAGACACAUCUUUAAAAAGAGGGAAUCUCUGACUGUCAGUCCUUUUGCAGAGGAAUACAAUUUGGGUUUUUGCAGGUCUAACAAGGGGAUAUCUCAUCAUUUUGUAUAUGGCAAAGUUUCUUGCAGAGCUUUUGGGUUGCACUUUGCCAGAGAAGGGCUCGUCUCCUGUGUUUGAGUCCAGAAGUCAGCCUCACAUUGGCUUGAAGCGCACACCCAAACAAAGGCCCACAAUCUUUGGAACAUUGACAAAUGAAAAACAUUCGCUGGAUCGAAAAAGGGUGAGUA